rnacentral:rRNA from 1 species
UGGGGAAUCUUGGACAAUGGGCGCAAGCCUGAUCCAGCCAUGCCGCGUGAGUGAUGAAGGCCUUCGGGUUGUAAAGCUCUGUGGGGAGAGAAGAAUAAGUGCGGGCUAAUACUCCGCAUGAUGACGGUAUCUCCUUAGCAAGCACCGGCUAACUCUGUGCCAGCAGCCGCGGUAAGACAGAGGGUGCAAACGUUGUUCGGAAUUACUGGGCGUAAAGCGAGUGUAGGCGGUUUGGUAAGUCGGAUGUGAAAGCCCCGGGCUCAACCCGGGAAGUGCACUCGAUACUGCCAAGCUAGAGUAUCGGAGAGGUUGGUGGAAUUCUCGGUGUAGAGGUGAAAUUCGUAGAUAUCGAGAGGAACACCGGUGGCGAAGGCGGCCAACUGGACGAAUACUGACGCUGAGACUCGAAAGCGUGGGGAGCAAACAGGAUUAGAUACCCUGGUAGUCCCUGAGCGGGCUGGCAAGGCGCAU